ensembl:misc_RNA Metazoa_SRP Metazoan signal recognition particle RNA
GCUGGGUGUGGUGGCGGGCACCUGUAAUCCCAGCUACUCGGGAGGCUGAGGCAAGAGAAUCGCUUGAACCCGGGAGGCAGAGGUUGCAGUGAGCUGAGAUUGCGCCACUGCACUCCAGCCUGGGUGACACAGUGAGAUUCCGUCUCAA